rnacentral:rRNA from 1 species
AGGACGAAUGCUGGCGGUGUGCUUCACACAUGCAAGUCGAACGGGGUAGCAAUACCCAGUGGCGGACGGGUGAGUAACGCGUGGGAAUCUGCCUUAAGAUGGGGGAUAGCUGGCCGAAAGGCUAAUUAAUACCGCAUAGGCCUAUAUUUCGACAGUUUUAUAGGUUAAAGGAGUAAUCCGUCUUAAGAUGAGCCCGCGUCCGAUUAGCUAGUUGGUAGGGUAAAAGCCUACCAAGGCUACGAUCGGUAGGUGAUUCGAGAGGAUGAUCACCCACAAUGGAACUGAGACACGGUCCAUACUCCUACGGGAGGCAGCAGUGGGGAAUUUUACGCAAUGGGCGAAAGCCUGACGUAGCGACACCGCGUGAACGAAGAAGCCUUUUGGGGUGUAAAGUUCUGUCGGCUGGGACGAAAAAAAUGACGGUACCAGCAAAGGAAGCAUCGGCUAACUACGCGCCAGCAGCCGC